UGGGGAAUAUUGCGCAAUGGGGGCAACCCUGACGCAGCAACGCCGCGUGAUUGAAGAAGGCCUUCGGGUUGUAAAGAUCUUUAAUCAGGGACGAAAUAUGACGGUACCUGAAGAAUAAGCUCCGGCUAACUACGUGCCAGCAGCCGCGGUAAUACGUAGGGAGCAAGCGUUAUCCGGAUUUACUGGGUGUAAAGGGCGCGCAGGCGGGCCGGCAAGUUGGGAGUGAAAUCCGGGGGCUUAACCCCCGAACUGCUUUCAAAACUGCUGGUCUUGAGUGAUGGAGAGGCAGGCGGAAUUCCGUGUGUAGCGGUGAAAUGCGUAGAUAUACGGAGGAACACCAGUGGCGAAGGCGGCCUGCUGGACAUUAACUGACGCUGAGGCGCGAAAGCGUGGGGAGCAAACA
rnacentral:rRNA from 1 species